UGGGGGCGGUGAGGUGCGCCGCCGGCCCCAGCCGAUGAAGACUGCCCCCGGGGCCACGGGGGCCACUAACGGGGGGCCAACCAACGGUAACGGGGGCGCCCCCAACGGACCACAACGCAAGCAGUGCUGUCUCUGCUGGUGCUGCUGCUGUAGUUGUUCUUGGAAUAAAUGGAAAGAGUGGUGUUGGUGAGUGAAGAA